CUGACACAGGGAGGUAGUGACAAUAAAUAACAUUGCAGGGCUUUUCUAAGUCUUGCACUCGGAAUGAGAACAAUUUAAACCCCUUAUCGAGGAUCAAUUGGAGGGCAAGUCUGGUGCCAGCAGCCGCGGUAAUUCCAGCUCCAAUAGCGUAUACUAAAGUUGUUGCAGUUAAAAAGCUCGUAGUUGAAUUUCUAGGUGUAAAAGGCGGUCCUGCCUUCAGGGUUGUGUACCUCCCUUUUACGCCUAUCCUCGUAGUGAACAUGUAUUCUUUUUAUUAAGCGUAUAUGGGACCUGCGUCAUUUACUGUGAGCAAAAUAGAGUGUUCAAAGCAGGCUUUAUGCCGUUGAAUAUAUUAGCAUGGAAUAAUAAGAUAUGACUUCUGUCUUUCUUGUUGGUUUGUAUUUCGGAAGUAAUGAUUAAUAGGGAUAGUUGGGGGUAUUCGUAUUCAAUUGUCAGAGGUGAAAUUCUUGGAUUCGGUCAAGACUAACUUAUGCGAAAGCAUUCA
rnacentral:rRNA from 1 species